rnacentral:rRNA from 1 species
UACGUAGGGUGCGAGCGUUAAUCGGAAUUACUGGGCGUAAAGCGUGCGCAGGCGGUUCGUUGUGUCCGUCGUGAAAGCCCCGGGCUUAACCUGGGAAUGGCAGUGGAAACUAGAGAACUUGAAUCUGGCAGAGGGGGGUGGAAUGCCACGUGUAGCAGUGAAAUGCGUAGAUAUGUGGCGGAACACCGAUGGCGAAGGCAGCCCCCUGGGCUGAGAUUGACGCUCAGGCACGAAAGCGUGGGGAGCAAACAGG